rnacentral:tRNA from 1 species
GCCCGUUUAGCACAGUGGUAGUGCGCAUCACUCGUAUGGCGUACUUGUACGAGGUGCAACGUGAUGAUGAGGUCGGUUGUUCAAUCCAGCCAACGGGCA